CUCUACUGAUGACCUCUAUUUUGAGCCAUGUGUCUGGGCCACUGAACUGAAGUGAUGGGAUUGAGGAACUGAGGAG
ensembl:snoRNA SNORD66 small nucleolar RNA SNORD66